GGGAGGGGCGCAUUUAUUAGAUAAAAGGCUGACGCAGGCUCUGCUCAUUGAUCUGGUGAUUCAUGAUAACUCGACAGAUCGCAUGGCCUUUGUGCCGGCGACGCGUCAUUCAAAUUUCUGCCAUGUCAACUUUUGAUGGUAAGAUAGGGGCCUACCUUGGUGGUGAUGGGUGACGGAGAAUUAGGGUUCGAUUCCAGAGAGGGAGCGUGAGAAAAGGCUACCACAUCCAAGGAAGGCAGCGGGCGUGCAAAUUAACCAAUCCUGACACAAGGAGGUAGUGACAAUAAAUGACAGGACCGGGCACAUUAGUGUCUGGUAACUGGAAUGUGUACAGUCUAAAUCCCUUAACGAGGAUCCAUUGGAGGGCAAG
rnacentral:ncRNA from 1 species